GACGAACGCUGGCGGCGUGCUUAACACAUGCAAGUCGAGCGGUAAGGCCCUUUCGGGGGUACACGAGCGGCGAACGGGUGAGUAACACGUGGGUGACCUGCCCUUAGCUCUGGGAUAAGCCUGGGAAACUGGGUCUAAUACCGGAUAUGACUCCAUAACGCAUGUUGUGGGGUGGAAAGCCUUGUGCGGCUAGGGGAUGGGCCCGCGGCCUAUCAGCUUGUUGGUGGGGUGAUGGGCCACCAAGGCGACGACGGGUAGCCGGCCUGAGAGGGCGACCGGCCACACUGGGACGUGAGACACGGCCCACGACUCCUACGGGAGGCAGCAGUGGGGAAUCUUGCGCAAUGGGCGAAAGCCUGACGCAGCGACGCCGCGUGGGGA
rnacentral:rRNA from 1 species